AUAUUACAAUGAAUAACAUCAGCACGGUGACACUACGCCAUCCUCAAUUGCUCUAUGCAAGUAGUAGAACAACUCGAAGCAGCGGAAUAACUCUUGCAGCGGAACAACGACGACGGUGGUGAACUCCACUCCGCAUGGACUCUGGCUAGAACGCUUAUCCUAGCUCGCGAACACAGGAACAACACCAAAUAAGCAAGCAAUCCAGGCACGACCUGCAAACUGGCAUGACACACCAGGUCAGUACAUUGAAUGUACUUGCAAGCUCACAAUAACCAGAAGCAUUCAAGACAAACAACAACAUGGCAAUUACAGGUUAAGCAGGAAUUAUCAUGAAGUCCUCAGGAGAACAUGGCAUCAACAAUAUGAUACAGCUAGAACAAUAUGAGCAUGGCAUGAACAUAUGAAUCUGACAUGCAACAUGAUGACACUACAUGCACCAUUUAUUCUGUUCGGGUUGCCUCGUAACCAUCACAUGCAUCACUUACCAACGUCGAACAUUACACGAUCAUCUCAGGAUCAAAUCAAGCUUGGUACAAACAAUACCAUAGUAAUCAUUAAAUGACCACAAGGAGCUUGAUCUUUACCCACGAUUCUCGCACAACAUCACGAAUAUCCAACAACUCAGUAUCCUCGAUACCACGGUGAUCUUUCCAGCGAUCACAACCAUGACCAACAGUUGGUCUCAAACGGUGAUCUUUCCGGCAAUCACCACCAUCUUAUCUCAUCAUCGAACAGUGGUUGUUAUUAAGCACAUUAUUAUUAUUAUUAUUAUUAUUAUUAUUAUUAUUAUUAUUAUUAUUAUUAUUAUUAUUAUUAUUAUUGUCACCGUUGACUCACGGUGUGACCGACACGAACUGGGCCCUUAUCCACGGGCACGGCUAUCGGUAGAUUUAAUAUACACUCUGCAGAGGUAGCACACUGUACCCACACCACGGAACCCAUGGCCUCGCACUCCCAUAUGUGUGGACACGACGUUCCGACAAAACUGAUCUACUGCCAUGACACUCUCCCGGCCACUCCGACUCACUCCCCACUAGGCUAGUCCUGGGUGGCCCCGUACCAAAGACACACCGACCACCGUCGUGGCCAACACGUCCCUCACGGGGUCCGGAUCCAUAAUAACAACAACGAACACACAAAGUUAUGUCCGCCUACCUGAUUAGGGUAGAGCGCGCCCAUAACUUUCCCUCGUUGUAGGCACCGACGAGAGGCACGACAAUAGACCCAAUUAGGACCUUCCCAUAAAAGGUAAGCGUGGUUGCACUGGUCAGUUUCGAUAUGGUGGCACCAUGACUCAGCCAACAGUUGUUCAAGUUCAAUUAAAUCCGGUUAAACUUGAAUGCAAUAUGCUGAGCUAUGAUAAAAUAACAUGAUGCAUAUACAAAGCAUGAGCAGGAUAUCAACAUAAGCACGGGAUACAACAUAAAUAUCCACCAUAUCAACUAUGAAUAAUCUCCAACUGAACAUGGCAUAAUGAUGAGCAUAAAUAUUACAGGUGCAACCGUACUCAUAGUAUAACAUGACUAUUAUCACCAACCAUAAAUAACAUGCAAGAACUCAUCAAUAACAUUACUGAGUAAACACUUAACCAACUAGUAGUAAAGGAACAAUGCAUAUUAACAGUACUCAGUAACCGACGUCAGUCAUGCACCGAAGAACAUGACCAACCCAACAUGUACUACUAUCAAGCAUGGAAAUAUGAAAGUAAUACUAGCAACUAGCAGGGCAUGAUAACCAGGUGCAUAACGACAUAGCAAGCAAGUAAGCACUAACCCAGAAAUAUUGCCGAAACAACGAUAACCAUAUUUUAAACAAGCAAUCAUUUAAUAAAUAUUCAAGUUGAAAACCAUGGCUACUGCAUGACUAUCAUGCAAAUGGGUAUUGUGGCUUGCCUGGGGGUGAAGAAGGCACCGGGACGAAAUGCGGUGAAGCCGCGGAAAGAUUGCCGGAAAUAGUUCUUUCUUGGAGGGGCUGUUUAAGUGCAAGGGAAAAAAGGUCAUUUUCACAGUUUUAAACCAUAAUGAAAAUGAAACCAACAGAACGGGCUCGAUGAAAUGAAGAUGUGGGCUUUGGAAUCACCUCAUUUGGAGUUGGGAGUAAAAAGAUAUAAGGGUUUUUCUGCCAGGGUCCUAUCUGUAUUAAAAUCAUCACAAACAGGCCCUCAGCGGGAAAAACAGAACGCGCACUCGAUGUAAUACGCUUUUGGUGAAAUGAAAGGGUACUCUGGCCCACAACCGCAGUUGCUUAC
rnacentral:lncRNA from 1 species